GGCAAAGGGCAGCGGGAGAAGCUGGAGCUGGUGGCCUCGUUCUCGUUUUUUGGGAAUGUCAUGUCCAUGGCCAGCGUCCAGCUGGCCGGAGCCAAGAGGGACGCGCUGCUCCUCAGCUUCAAGGAUGCCAAGCUCUCGGUGGUGGAGUACGACCCCGGCACCCACGACCUCAAGACUCUGUCCCUGCACUACUUCGAGGAGCCGGAGCUGCGGGACGGCUUCGUGCAGAACGUGCACACG